GGCGGUGUGUCCGAGUGGUUAAGGAGACAGACUAGAAAUCUGUUGGGCUCUGCCCGCGCAGGUUCGAAUCCUGCCGCCGUCG
rnacentral:tRNA from 1 species